rnacentral:rRNA from 1 species
GCGGACGGGUGAGUAACGCGUAGGAAUCUACCUGGUAGUGGGGGACAACUUGGGGAAACUCAAGCUAAUACCGCAUACGCCCUAAGGGGGAAAGCGGGGGACCUUCGGGCCUCGCGCUAUCGGAUGAGCCUGCGUAGGAUUAGCUAGUUGGUGGGGUAAAGGCCCACCAAGGCGACGAUCCUUAGCUGGUCUGAGAGGAUGAUCAGCCACACUGGAACUGAGACACGGUCCAGACUCCUACGGGAGGCAGCAGUGGGGAAUAUUGCGCAAUGGGCGAAAGCCUGACGCAGCCAUGCCGCGUGUGUGAAGAAGGCCUUAGGAUUGUAAAGCACUUUCAAUUGGGAAGAAAAGUUUGUCGUUAAUAGCGCCAAGCUCUGACAUUACCUUUAGAAGAAGCACCGGCUAACUCCGUGCCAGCAGCCGCGGUAAUACGGAGGGUGCGAGCGUUAAUCGGAAUUACUGGGCGUAAAGCGCGCGUAGGCGGUUUGUUAAGUCAGCUGUGAAAGCCCCGGGCUCAACCUGGGAACUGCAGUUGAUACUGGCCGACUAGAGUACGAGAGAGGGAGGUAGAAUUCCAUGUGUAGCGGUGAAAUGCGUAGAUAUAUGGAGGAAUACCAGUGGCGAAGGCGGCCUCCUGGCUCGAUACUGACGCUGAGGUGCGAAAGCGUGGGGAUCAAACAGGAUUAGAUACCCUGGUAGUA